rnacentral:lncRNA from 1 species
GUCUCCAGAGGACAGCAUGUGCCGAUUUUAACAGUUACUUGAGAAGGGACUCUGAACUCGGAGCAGGAAGAUGAGUGCAGCCCUGGAAGACUCGGACUGUAACUCUUCUUUUGGGGGGCUGGCGCCCAGCAGUCCAGACCCCAUGAAUAAAGCCUGCUUAUUCGACGACAGCAUGGAGCUGUUUGACUCGUUAGAUGUCAGCAGGGGUUCAGAGCCCCCAAGUUUUCUUUCUAAAACCCCCAGCCCCGUUUUCUCGAAGGCGAACACGAGGUGUUUCAGAGCAGCAAGCAGAGAAGAGGAGAUUGAGAGUGUAAGUAGGUUUUACGAAGUUGGAAGAUAAGAUAAGAUCACUUUAUUGGCCAUAUACAAUUUCUUGCAUUAGGAAUGUUUCUUUUCACAUACCCCAGCUUGCUCUUCAUGAGACACACAGACAGGGAGAGAAGCUGGGGGUCAGAGCGCAGGGUCAGCCAUUUAUACGGCACCCCUGGAGCAGUUGGGGUUCAGGGCCUUGCUCUGGGGCCCAACGGAGUAGGAUACCUCUGUUGGCCACGGAAUUCGAACCGGCAACCUUCCAGCCACAGUGCCACCACUGCAAUACGCAGAUGGACCAUAACGUGUUAAUGUGGAGAAGUUUGAUUUUC